rnacentral:lncRNA from 1 species
GCCGCAAAAUGUUUACCGCUGCCUCUCCGACAACUCCACCACCACCCGAAGCUACCACCUCCUCCUCGGCGGCGAUGAGGGCUCCUCCCAUCGUCGGACUCGCUCUGAUUUCCAGCCUCCAUCCACUGUUGAUUUAUCCGACCAUUUGCCCCACGCCAAGAGCUUCAGUGCCAGAGCUCCGCCGGUGGCUCCUUCGGGAAGGACUGGUAAAUGAAUUGACGCCGGUGAAGUGAAAUGAUGAUCC